CACGUAGGCACCAAGCGUUGUCCGGAUUUAUUGGGCGUAAAGAGCUCGUAGGCGGUUCGGUAAGUCGGGUGUGAAAACUCUGGGCUCAACCCAGAGCCGCCACCCGAUACUGCUGUGACUUGAGUGCGGUAGGGGAGCGGGGAAUUCCUGGUGUAGCGGUGAAAUGCGCAGAUAUCAGGAGGAACACCAGUGGCGAAGGCGCCGCUCUGGGCCGUGACUGACGCUGAGGCGCGAAAGCCAGGGGAGCAAACGGG
rnacentral:rRNA from 1 species